rfam:Providencia sneebia DSM 19967 chromosome, whole genome shotgun sequence.
UCGAACAUGAAAAUCGUUGCUUUUCGUUUCUUUUUUUACUUUAGCGCCUGAAUAAUGGGGGCUCUUACGCGUAAGAAAAAAAUGAAAAGUUACGCUGAAGCCUCCUAAUUGGAGGCUUUUUUGUU